rnacentral:rRNA from 1 species
AUGAUUAUUUUUCUUUGUAAGAACUUUUUUUUGAGACAAUUUCUUUUUAAGAACUUUUUUUCGGUCCUUUGUAGAGUUCAAAUGAAAAAAAUAAAGUUCAGUGGUCUUGGCCCAAAUAUUCAGAGCUCGGCCCAAUUCCAGUGCCCAGCUCAUCUUACAACACGAAGAGAUUCUCAAAAAAAAAAGAGAUUCUCAACAAAAAAUCUUAUACAACACGAAGAGAAACAAAGAAGCAAAUCUGCGCACGCGGCGGCCCUGAGCGACGGGUCGGCACCAGCCGCCACCGGCGCGCUUCCGCCCGCGUCCGAUGGCCGGAGACCAAGCACGCCCACAGGUGUUCGACGCAGGCCCGACCGGCGCAUGCCGUGA